UACGGAGGAUCCAAGCGUUAUCCGGAUUUAUUGGGUUUAAAGGGUGCGUAGGCGGCCUGUUAAGUCAGGGGUGAAAGACGGUAGCUCAACUAUCGCAGUGCCCUUGAUACUGAUGGGCUUGAAUGUACUAGAGGUAGGCGGAAUGUGACAAGUAGCGGUGAAAUGCAUAGAUAUGUCACAGAACACCAAUUGCGAAGGCAGCUUACUAUGGUAUAAUUGACGCUGAGGCACGAAAGCGUGGGGAUCAAACAGG
rnacentral:rRNA from 1 species